rnacentral:tRNA from 1 species
GUGGUCGUAGCUCAACUGGUAGAGCGUCGCCCUGUGGAGGCGAAUGUUGGGGGUUCAAAUCCCCUCGAUCACC